rnacentral:rRNA from 1 species
UACGUAGGGGGCAAGCGUUAUCCGGAUUUACUGGGUGUAAAGGGAGCGUAGGCGGUGAUGCAAGUCAGAAGUGAAAGCCCGCAGCUCAACUGCGGGACUGCUUUUGAAACUGUAUGACUAGAUUGCAGGAGAGGUAAGUGGAAUUCCUAGUGUAGCGGUGAAAUGCGUAGAUAUUAGGAGGAACACCAGUGGCGAAGGCGGCUUACUGGACUGUAAAUGACGCUGAGGCUCGAAAGCGUGGGGAUCAAACAGG